rnacentral:sRNA from 1 species
CGUGAUAUCGUCCCUAAACUUUCCCUUGCAACACCCUAUUGCAAUGGUGUGGAGUAUGGAAAAUACGUAAAUAAAUGUUGCACUCAAAUUAAAGAUGUUAUGUUGACUCAAAUAAGAUAUAGGAGAAUUACGGCGCCGUAUGAAUCACGAACUGUAUGACUUGUAUGACGACGUUAACAUAGUUAAGCGUACCAGAAUUAAAUCAUUCCAAUUAAAUCAAAAUGAAAUGAAAAGCCACAGUCACAUGACAUCCGGUUGUACGUACCGGAUUGAUCCGAUGGAGUCCUUCAUCGGCAAGGGCUGCUGCUUCACUGAACAACACGUUGCUACAACAACAAGAUUCAGCCUAACAUUUCUCUUGCUGUUUUUUUAAUUUAUCUGUUGUACUUUAAAUUCACUUUCCUUGUAUCUAUUGAUAGAAUUUUCAUGUUAAUGACUGAUUUGGCUAUCGCGCCAAAGCCCAAUUCA